rnacentral:rRNA from 1 species
AUGCUUUCACAACUUGACUUCAAAAUAUUUGGUUUGGAGACCAUCAAAGAUCAAUAUGUGCAUGAUGCUGAUUUUAAAGAUGUAAUGCAGAAUUGUAAAGAAGGAAGAAUGUGGAACAAGUUUGUUGUUAACGAUGGAUUUGUGUUUCGUGCUAACAAGCUAUGCAUUCCAGCUAGCUCCGUUCGUCUUUUGUUGUUGCAGGAGGCGCAUGGAGGAGGAUUAAUGGGACACUUUGGCGUGAAGAAGACGGAGGACGUACUUGCUACACAUUUCUUUUGGCCAAAGAUGAGACGGGAUGUUGAGCGGGCUGUUUUGAAGAAUAAUAAGAAAAUGUGGGAGGAAUGCUUGCCUCAUAUUGAAUUUGCUUAUAAUCGUUCAUUGCAUUCUACUACUAAGAUGUGCCCUUUUGAAGUUGUGUAUGAUUUCCUACCUCGUGCACCUAUUGAUUUGUUGCCUCUUCCAUCUUCGGAGAAGGUUAAUUUUGAUGCUAAACAACGUGCUGAAUUGAUUUUAAAAAUGCAUGAGUUAACUAAGGAAAACAUUGAGCGUAUGAAUGCUAAAUAUAAACUUGCUGGAGAUAAGGGUAGAAAACAUGUUGUGUUUGCACCUGGAGAUCUUGUUUGGUUACAUUUGCGUAAGGAUAGAUUUCCUGAUUUGCGCAAAUCAAAGUUAAUGCCACGUGCUGAUGGUCCCUUUAAGGUGUUAGAGAAAAUAAAUGAUAAUGCAUAUAAACUUGAGCUGCCUGCAGAUUUUGGGGUUAGUCCCACUUUUAACAUUGCAGAUUUGAAGCCUUAUUUGGGUGAGGAAGAUGAACUUCCGUCGAGGACGACUUCAUUUCAAGAAGGGGAGGAUGAUGAGGACAUCAAUACAAUUGUUACACCCACAGCCCCUGCUGCUAUACAUACUGGACCAAUUACUAGAGCUCGUGCACACCAACUAAAUUACCAGGAAACAGACCCUCGUGGUCAGGUUGAUCGUGGUCCGGCGUGGUCAAUAACCUCUCGGAGUUGGUUUAGCGAUUGCUAA